GACGCACAGAGCCGUGAAACAUACACGUACAAAACAGCCAUUAAUGGCCACGUUGAACCCCUUGAUCUACCUGUACCGACCUCCCCUGACCCUCUAUAAAAGCUUAGGGCGUCGCCCAUAAUCUCCUCAUUCGAAGCCCUCUCUUUCGGGAGCAUAUACCCCUGCCCAUCGUCGUAAAUUGCUCGCCGGAGUUGCUUGACACCGCGGCUGUUCGUGAAAGUUUCCGGCGAGUUCCAGUCGGAGCACAAGUUCUUCGUUGUCCGCUUUCGGUCGGAGUUGCGCCCAACUCCGGCGACAUCUAGCAGCCACCUGAAGGCGAACCAGGAGCCGACGUCGUGUCCUGGAGACUCACUCCGACUUCCUCUCCCUUGUCCACUUCUCUUACGUUGCCGGAGAUCACCGCAUCACCUCACAUCCGAGCCGCCGCUGCCGGCCAUCUCCAUCUCCGAAAAACCUUCAUGGGACGCGAAGGUGGAGCCCACAGUGGAAUUUACAUGGAAAUCCAAGGCCCCACUUCGAUGCAGGUUCUUUCUGUGGCUCGCGAUGCACAAUAGGUGUUGGACCUCGGACAGGCUUGCUAGGCGUGGAUUGGACCAUCAGGACGCGUACCCUUCUACACUCAGCAUGAGGAGACCAUUGAUCACCUUCUCAUCGGUUGCGUAUUCGCGAGAUAGAUUUGGUCUGUCAUCUGUCGAACCUUAGAUAGACCACAGUGGACGCCGAGUCACGACUCGAGACUGCGGGUUGGUGCGCCGUCACAAGUACGAUAGGUUCCAGAGCAAAGGAUACACGAGCAAUCUUACUACUCGUAUUGUGGAAGAUAUGGAAGCACCGGAACAUGAUGGUCUUUGACGGCGCCCCCUAUCUUCACGGGCGCUCGUGAGUAGAAUUGAAGCUGAGGGGCGCGCAUGAAAACAUGCCUGAAUCCUAAAAGGUAAUGUAGAGUCUCUCUUUGGAGGGCAAGCUAGGUGGGCAGAUGCGAGAAGUUAGGCUAGAGUAGUUUGUUCCGGCUUGAUCGGUGGAGUUGGUCCAUAUGUAACAUGUACUUGUCAACGUGGAGGGGUUCCUUUUCCCAUCCUCUUCUUGAAUAUAUAGUACGCACAUUCGAGAAAAAAAAAAAAAACCUACUCAGACAGUAAUUGGUUUUUUGGCAAGGUGAGGCAAGUAGUAAAACUUCUUUUUUUUCACCUACACAGACCGCACAGCGGGGCCUCUCACUUUCUUCCCUCACAGCCACUGUGUUCCUCUAACUCAUAUAGAUUUAUCCUGUCACCGGUGCCUCCCUUUCCUCGACGGCGUAGCCCGUAUUCUUCUCCCCUCCACGGUGGUGGCCGGUUCCCACCUCUCCCCGCCAUCUCUCCUCCACGCCACUGGCGGAGCCCGUCCCCUUCUGUCCCCAUAGCCUUCCUUGCCUCGACGGUGUCGCCCGCAUCCUCCUCUCCCCGGUACGGUGUCGCUGUCCUCCUUCUCUGGCCGACAAACUCUGGCGCCGCCGCAUCGAGACCGAGCCAGCGCGCCCGCCGGCUCUGGCAUCUUGGUCAACCAAAUCGGGGUGGUCGGUGCAGAGGGACUCGCUGGUCUACAUCUGGCACAGCGGUGUGGCGCGGCGAGGCGACGCCCUCGUCGUCGGGCAAAGUCUUCUACCGCAGCCGAGCCAUGCCAAGGAGUACACACCGUCGCGCUGAGGGCGCCCACAAGGCCACAACGGCAAUAUGGGUUGCUGCUCACCGUCGCGCCGCCACCUUCUCUGACUGUGAUGGCCACCAAAGGAUUGACGCCAAUGAUCCUCAACAGCCACCUUCUACCCAUUUGCCGCUGAUAUAGAUGUUUUUUAAUUGCUUGAAAAACUGCAAGAUAACCCACUAUACAUCAGUGUUUGCUUGCUCUAAACUUUUAGUUCUCCUUGUGGUUCUUCAGUUAUGUUGAUUGCAGACAAACAGCUGUCAAUUUCAUGUGGCCCAAAAGGGCCCCUUCUCGUGCGGUUACAUCACACGCAAGGAGGAGUAGAGGAAGUAUGUAGGUUGCACUUCUAUUAAGAAACUAUCAGCGUGAACCGCUGGACUUAAACUGCCAAAUAUGUUCUUGAUCACCAACAGAAAAUCUCUUGUCAACUGAUAGAUCCCUGAACUUGAGAUAUUGGGAAAACACUUGUAGAAACUCUUUAGAUCUGGAGAAGAGAAAUGAAGAGCUCUAUAGCUGAACAAGGAUCAUCGUUUGGCACAGAUUACGACGAGUGCGAAGGUGAAUUCUACGAGGAGGUAGAACCUUGUGACUGCAAAAUCGAAGG